UGGGGAAUUGUUCGCAAUGGGCGCAAGCCUGACGACGCAACGCCGCGUGGAGGAUGAAGAUCUUCGGGUCGUAAACUCCUUUCGAUCGAGACGAAUGGCCUCCGGGUGAACAAUCCGGAGGAAUGACGGUACCGAGAGAAGAAGCCCCGGCUAACUUCGUGCCAGCAGCCGCGGUAAUACGAAGGGGGCAAGCGUUGUUCGGAUUUACUGGGCGUAAAGGGCGCGCAGGCGGUUUUUCAAGUCGGGUGUGAAAGCCCCGGGCUCAACCUGGGAACUGCACUCGAGACUGAAGAACUAGAGUUCGGGAGAGGAUGGCGGAAUUCCCAGUGUAGAGGUGAAAUUCGUAGAUAUUGGGAAGAACACCGGUGGCGAAGGCGGCCAUCUGGACCGAGACUGACGCUGAGGCGCGAAAGCGUGGGGAGCAAA
rnacentral:rRNA from 1 species